rnacentral:lncRNA from 1 species
GGCCGCGCCGCCUCGCCCUGCCUGGGCGGGGUUGGGACCUUUCUGGCACCUGCGUCGAAGCCGGCGGCAGGAUGGACUUUGUUGUCCCGGUCCCAGACCACCCUCCUCCACCGUCGCCUCCCACUGCAAAAAGGCCUGGAUAAGGAACCUAAUUCGAGCUACCCUUCUCUGUGAAGCUCGACGGCUGAGAACGUCAGGGCUCGUUCCCAAGUCUCUUUCCAGAGGCCAGGCUUUAUGGGAGCAUGGGUUACCAGCGACGCACCCUGUGAGGAUGCAGUGUCCAAGGCACCAUCUUGAACUCAUCAUCGCCAAAUAUGUGAGCACCUUGAUGUUGGACUUCCCAACCUCCAGACCCUGACAGGACUUCCACACCCAUGCUCCUCUCGGCACCUUUCACCCAGCCCAAGCAGCGGCGGCCCAGUGGUGGAAAAGGUGCCACGGCCAAACGGAUUGGAGACUCACCCCGCAUUCUAGGCCGGAGAAGCGGGCGGGCUUGGGAUGCCGGCAGGAGGCAAUGACUCUCCCCAGGCGCUGCAUCCUGGCUCCGGGGCACAAGCGCCUCUCCGCCCUGACGCUGAUGCUCGUCUGGCUGCCCGUUCUUUGGCAUCAAAAUACCAGACGAUGGUGGCGCACCCUGUGGCCUGGGCUGCCUCACCUCAUUCGGUCCCGCCUAGAAAGACCAGAGGACCAGAAAACCAGAAGCCUGUCAGAGCGACUAGAGGCUGGCUCCAGCCAACAGCCGCGCGCCUCAGCGUCCACGAGGGUUACCUGGGUAACGCGCCGCUUGGGCUCGGCGCCCAGCCGAUGACGUAACCCGCGCUUGCGUAGUGGCGCCGCCCUGAUGUGUAGUCUCCAGGCCGCCCCGAACACCAGCCC